rnacentral:lncRNA from 1 species
AGAUUCCUGCAAUUUAAAGGAGUUCUCUCUCUCUUUAAAAAAAAAAUCAUUAAAAAUCUGAUUCUUUUUCUAGAUGGUUAUAAACUUUAGAAAAUUUGCCUGCAGGGAGAAGAUGGAGGAAGCUGUGGCCUUCUGCUUCGGUGCCUUUUACUUGGAUUUAAUUUCAUCAGCGCAGAGCUUUGCUGCAGAGGACCAGGAGAAGCAAUUACCGCGGAGAGUGUGCUGGGAUUGCAGACAUGUUAUAACAACUUGCUAGCCCACCGUACAGGAUGGGACCGAAGCCCAGACAAUGAUGAGUCGGUGGUGCAGAAGAUCAGAAGGGAAGACUGGAAGACCUUCCAGGAAGCUAAUGAAUCAUCAGACCGGUAGACCAGGUACCAAAGACAGAAGAAGAGACCACCCAGAAGCUGAGCCUGAUCAUCGCAUCAGCGCCUCCUGGCUGUGUUCUGUGACCUCUGCACAACUGGACUCCUAUUGCUCAGGCAGUGUUAGACUCCAAACCAGAUGGCUUCUCAGACCACAGCUGCAGCCCCCCUUCCCUGUCACAGCGAUGGACAGCGCCCUGCUGACAGCAGCAUGUCUGAAGGGCCAGCAAACAGGCUUUCCGGCAGCUGGAUUUGUCAGUAGGGCAAAUGAGUUUCCCAUCUUGGACACUGCAAAAUGCUACUAGUGUCCG